rnacentral:rRNA from 1 species
GACGAACCGUGCGAACGUUGUUCGGAUUCACUGGGCUUAAAGGGCGCGUAGGCGGGCGGCACAGUCGGUGGUGAAAUCUUUCGGCCCAACCGGAAAACAGCCGCCGAUACUAGCCGUCUGGAGGGGGAUAGGGGCACGCGGAACUGCCGGUGGAGCGGUGAAAUGCGUAGAUAUCGGCAGGAACGCCGGUGGCGAAAGCGGCGUGCUGGGUCCUUCCUGACGCUGAGGCGCGAAAGCCAGGGGAGCGAACGGG